rnacentral:rRNA from 1 species
UACGUAGGGGGCAAGCGUUGUCCGGAAUCAUUGGGCGUAAAGCGCGCGUAGGCGGCUAGAUCAGUCUGCUGUAAAAGUCAAAAGGCUCAACCUUUGAAAGCCGGUGGAUACUGUCUAGCUAGAGUCCGGAAGAGGCGAGUGGAAUUCCUGGUGUAGCGGUGGAAUGCGCAGAUAUCAGGAGGAACACCAACGGCGAAGGCAGCUCGCUGGGACGGUACUGACGCUAAGGCGCGAAAGCGUGGGGGAGCGAACAGG